rnacentral:misc_RNA from 1 species
UCUCCGUUGGUGAACCAGCGGAGGGAUCAUUACCGAGUUUACAACUCCCAAACCCCAUGUGAACAUACCUGUUUCGUUCCCUCGGCGGUGUCCGGCAACGGCCCGCCAGAGGACCCCUAAACUCUGUUUCUAUAUGUAACUUCUGAGUAAAACCAUAAAUAAAUCAAAACUUUCAACAACGGAUCUCUUGGUUCUGGCAUCGAUGAAGAACGCAGC